rnacentral:rRNA from 1 species
UGGGGAAUCUUGCACAAUGGGGGCAACCCUGAUGCAGCGACGCCGCGUGAGCGAUGAAGCCCUUCGGGGCGUAAAGCUCUUUCGACCGGAACGAUAAUGACGGUACCGGGAGAAGAAGCUGCGGCUAACUACGUGCCAGCAGCCGCGGUAAUACGUAGGCAGCAAGCGUUGUUCGGAGUUACUGGGCGUAAAGAGUGCGUAGGCGGUUUUCUAAGUUCGGUGUGAAAUCUCCCGGCUUAACUGGGAGGGUGCGCCGAAGACUGGGAAGCUGGAGUGUGGGAAAGGCAGGCGGAAUUCCUGGUGUAGCGGUGAAAUGCGUAGAUAUCAGGAGGAACACCGGCGGUGUAGACGGCUUGCUAGACCAUAACUGACGCUGCGGCACGAAAGCGUGGGUAGCAAACA